AGAGUUUGAUCCUGGCUCAGGAUGAACGCUGGCGGCGUGCCUAACGCAUGCAAGUCGAGCGAGGACCGCCCGGUGGCAACACCGGGUUGGUGCCUAGCGGCGAACGGGUGAGUAACACGUGGGUAACCUGCCCCCGACACCGGGAUAAGCCUGGGAAACUGGGUCUAAUACCGGAUAUGAGCCUCCUCCGCAUGGUGGGGGCUGGAAAGGGUCUCCGGUCGGGGAUGGGCCCGCGUCCUAUCAGCUUGUUGGUGGGGUAACGGCCUACCAAGGCAAUGAUGCGUAGCUGGUCUGAGAGGACGAUCAGCCAGACUGGGACUGAGACACGGCCCAGACUCCUACGGGAGGCAGCAGUUCAGAAUCUUGCACAAUGGACGAAAGUCUGAUGCAGCCAUGCCGCGUGUGCGAAGAAGGCCUUCGGGUCGUAAACUCCUGUCGAGCGGGAAGAAUACUUACCUGGCCAACAUCCGGGUAGGCUGACGGUACCGCUAAAGGAAGCCCCGGCUAACUCCGUGCCAGCCGCGGCGGUAAUAC
rnacentral:rRNA from 1 species